rnacentral:rRNA from 1 species
CGUGCUUAACACAUGCAAGUCGAACGAAGCACCUUACCGGAUUUCUUCGGAUGAAAGUUUGGUGACUGAGUGGCGGACGGGUGAGUAACGCGUGGGUAACCUGCCCUGUACAGGGGGAUAACAGCUGGAAACGGCUGCUAAUACCGCAUAAGCGCACGAGGAGACAUCUCCUUGUGUGAAAAACUCCGGUGGUACAGGAUGGGCCCGCGUCUGAUUAGCUGGUUGGCAGGGUAACGGCCUACCAAGGCAACGAUCAGUAGCCGGUCUGAGAGGAUGAACGGCCACAUUGGAACUGAGACACGGUCCAAACUCCUACGGGAGGCAGCAGUGGGGAAUAUUGCACAAUGGGGGAAACCCUGAUGCAGCAACGCCGCGUGAGUGAAGAAGUAUUUCGGUAUGUAAAGCUCUAUCAGCAGGGAAGAUAAUGACGGUACCUGACUAAGAAGCUCCGGCUAAAUACGUGCCAGCAGCCGCGGUAAUACGUAUGGAGCAAGCGUUAUCCGGAUUUACUGGGUGUAAAGGGUGCGUAGGUGGCAGUGCAAGUCAGAUGUGAAAGGCCGGGGCUCAACCCCGGAGCUGCAUUUGAAACUGCUCGGCUAGAGUACAGGAGAGGCAGGCGGAAUUCCUAGUGUAGCGGUGAAAUGCGUAGAUAUUAGGAGGAACACCAGUGGCGAAGGCGGCCUGCUGGACUGUUACUGACACUGAGGCA